rnacentral:rRNA from 1 species
AUUGAACGCUAGCGGGAUGCUUUACACAUGCAAGUCGAACUUGUCGCGCACGGGUGUGUACUAUAUCGGCACGUGCCCCGUAGCUGGGGAUCACUUCUCGCAACAUUGGCUCAUACCGCAUCCUAUUGUAGCGUCCCCUAUCGGAUUAGCUCGUUGGUGGGGUAAAGGCUCACCAAGGCAACGAUCCGUAGCUGGUUUGAGAGGACGACCAGCCAAACUGGGACUGAGACACGGCCCAGACUCCUACGGGAGGCAGCAGUGGGGAAUUUUGGACAAUGGGGGAAACCCUGAUCCAGCCAUCCCGCGUGUAUGAGAAGGCCUUCGGGUUGUAAAGUACUUUUGGCAGAGAAGCGGUAGCUGAAGAAGAAGCAAAGGCUAACUACGUGCCAGCAGCCGCGGUAAUAG